rnacentral:sRNA from 1 species
CGGUGUGGGUGAGUUGGCUGCCGGUGGAGUCGUGUUGGUGCUCAGAAUCCCCGCGUAGCCGCUGCCUCGUCCUACCCUCGCCAUGUUUCUCACUCGGUCUGAGUACGACAGGGGCGUGAAUACUUUUUCUCCCGAAGGAAGAUUAUUUCAAGUGGAAUAUGCCAUUGAGGCUAUCAAGCUUGGUUCUACAGCCAUUGGGAUCCAGACAUCAGAGGGUGUGUGCCUAGCUGUGGAGAAGAGAAUUACUUCCCCACUGAUGGAGCCCAGCAGCAUUGAGAAAAUUGUAGAGAUUGAUGCUCACAUAGGUUGUGCCAUGAGUGGGCUAAUUGCUGAUGCUAAGACUUUAAUUGAUAAAGCCAGAGUGGAGACACAGGUAAAAUUGGCAUUAUCUCCUUUUUACCAGGAUGCUUGAGUUCUUUGUUUAGUGAUUAUCUAGCUGCCUGGGCUAUACUGCAGUUGCCUGUGUCAAUAUUAGAUGUGGCUCUUAGGAGUAAUUUUGGGUAGAAUUCCCAGUUAGAACUUUCUGGGGCUUGGAGUUUAGCUGUCCGAUCAUUGCAGUUUUAAAGAGGCUCUGGUCAGCUGACAGUGUCUUCCUUUUUUUUUUUUUGGCUUUGCCUAUAUAUAAAGCAUACAUUGCAAUGCAUUGUUUCCUAAUUGACUUUCUGUGGGAGCAUCAUGGCAGGAGGUGGACAUAGUUAAAGGAUAUUCUCCCUUCAGCUGCCUUUGCUGCCAGGCUUGCAAAUAACAGCCCUCCUUUGGUGAGUAAUAACUUGUACCAACUGACAAAUACUGGUCAGGGAUACUGUUUUUUUUAAAAAAAAAAAACUUUGUAGCUGCUGCUUGGAGAUAGGCUAGUAAGAAAAAUAUAUCACACAGUAAAAUUUUUUGCACUUAUUUGCAAGUUUGCUGUCUGUACUUAUGUAAGAAUAAGUCAUUUAACUUAAACAUCAAUAGAAUAAGCUAGAGUCUUUCAGGGAAAGAGGCACUUUUAGUUUUUGAAAGAGUAAACUUGGUGCUUUGAGGCAUAACCCUCUUUUUCAAGGCAGUGAUUCUCUUGUCUGUCGUUGCUUAGAGUCCUUGUGAUAUGUUUAUUUCCAGAGCUAUUUCUCUUCCUCUCAUGUACUCCCAAGUACUCAGGGUUAAUGUUAAUUAAGAAAACCACAUUUGAGCCUUCAGUUUUCAAUCCCAGUUUAAAGGGAUGUGCGUAGUGAGAUGGUGGGCUGCUUUAAUGUCCUUAUUAGAAGGUUGUACCAUGCUUUGCUCUUCUUCUAGAACCACUGGUUCACCUACAAUGAGACAAUGACAGUGGAGAGUGUGACCCAAGCUGUGUCCAAUCUGGCUCUCCAGUUUGGAGAAGAAGAUGCAGAUCCAGGUGCCAUGGUGAGUGUGAUACUUGUGUUGAGUUUUCUUAUUGUUCUGUAGGACUUAGGACAUUUGUCCUGUGAACAUAACAUUCCCAGCCCCUCUCACCUCCUUACUUUAUAGCCAUUUAUCUUAAUAUCUC